ensembl:snRNA U6 U6 spliceosomal RNA
CUCCUUCUGCAGAAGAUACACUAAAAUUGGAAUGAUACAGAGAAAAUCAGCAUGACCACUGUGCAAAGAUGACAUGUAAAUUCGUGAAGUAUUCCAUAUUAAA